UACGACGUCUCAUGCUAGGACGUGUCUGAGGCGUAGAUAAAAGCUACGGAAUGUGACUCUUCGGAGUGUUAUAGCCGUGGUCAAUGUUCCCACUUACGCGCGAGGAUCUCAGGUUCUACUAAAUGGUGGUCUACCACCCGUCUUGAAACACGGACCAAGGAGUA
rnacentral:rRNA from 1 species